AGGGAUGUAGCUCAGUGGUAGAGCAUGUGCCUAGCAUGCAUAAGGCCUUGGGAUCAAUCCCUA
rnacentral:tRNA from 1 species